GCAAGUCGAACGAUAUAGUGGCAGACGGGUGAGUAACGCGUGGGAAUCUGCCCUCAGGAGGGGGAUAACGGCCGGAAACGGCCGCUAAUACCCCAUAUGCCGAGAGGUGAAAUGAAUUUCGCCUGAGGAUGAGCCCGCGUCUGAUUAGCUAGUUGGUGAGGUAAGAGCUCACCAAGGCAUCGAUCAGUAGCUGGUCUGAGAGGAUGAUC
rnacentral:rRNA from 1 species